AAACCUUUGUAUUUUCUGCUCAAUUUUGCUAAAAUUACUAUAAAGUGCACUGAAAAAAGAAAACAAAGGAUCAGCAAUUAUGAUCCCAAGUGUAUAAAAUAAAAAUAUUAGUACAGAAAAAUAUAUAGGCUACCUGAAAAUGCACAAAAGUGCUGAGAAGAGUUUUAAAUUUCAAUUAUUCAUGAGGUAAGAACUUGGCAUUUUGGAGGGGUGGGUGUUUGUGUGUGUGUGUGUUUGUGUGUGUGUGUGUGUGUUGCUGCAAUAUAAGGGUUGUAUUGAAUGUCAUUAUGACCAGUAACCAGGAAAUACACAAAUUCUAUCCUACUGAGACUCCUUACCCAUGAAGUACUUGGAAAAACAAACUUAUUGUUAGUUGGAUUUUAUUAAAGAGAUUUGUUUUUUUUAAUUUUAUAUAAUUUUAAAAUAGCAAAGUUAACUCCAAAAAUAAGAGCAAUCAUUUAUUUUUAUCAACUGGAAACUAAAAGG